AACGAACGCUGGCGGCAUGCUUAACACAUGCAAGUCGAACGAGAAAACGCCUUCGGGUGUGAGUAAAGUGGCGCACGGGUGAGUAACGCGUAGAUAACCUGCCCUUUAGUUUGGGAUAACUAUCCGAAAGGAUGGCUAAUACCGGAUAAUACCUUGAGUCGAUUGGUUUAAGGUUGAAAGGUCCGCCGCUAGGGGAUGGGUCUGCGUAGCAUUAGCUUGUUGGUGGGGUAAAGGCCUACCAAGGCUACGAUGUUUAGCGGGUCUGAGAGGAUGAUCCGCCACACUGGAACUGAGACACGGUCCAG
rnacentral:rRNA from 1 species